AGAAACUUAGGAUAAACUAAACCGAAGGCCUUCAAAGCCUUAAACAAGAGUUAAACCCUCUUAGUUUCUG
rnacentral:tRNA from 1 species